rnacentral:Y_RNA from 1 species
GGGUGGUCCAAAGGUAGUGAGUUAUCUCAAUUGACUGUUUACAGCCAGUUACAGAUAGAACUCCUUGUUCUACUUUCCCCCACUUCUCACUACUGCACUUGACCAGUCUUUU